ncrna:Acinetobacter lwoffii ATCC 9957 = CIP 70.31 Pseudomonadales-1 RNA
CCUACUGGAGUGCUGACCAGCGGAACAUGCCUUCGAGUAAACUUCCUUCGGGAAUCUAGACUAGGGAGUAGCGUCCCGACCUAAAGAGGAUUGAAAGCAAGUAAAGCAGACCGUGCAUGUUAGGUGUGUGUGAUUGUGAGUAGCGGUAGAUCGGUUGCCGAGCCGAUU